rnacentral:misc_RNA from 1 species
GAUGAAGAACGCAGCGAAAUGCGAUAAGUAAUGUGAAUUGCAGAAUUCAGUGAAUCAUCGAAUCUUUGAACGCACAUUGCGCCCCUUGGUAUUCCGAGGGGCAUGCCUGUUCGAGCGUCAUUAUAACCCCUCAAGCUCAGCUUGGUGUUGGGGCCUGCUGCACUGGCAGCCCUUAAAAUCAGUGGCGGCGCCAUCUGGCUCUAAGCGUAGUAAUUCUUCUCGCUAUGGAGUCCUGGUGGAUGCUUGCCAUCAACCCCCAAUUUUUCUAUGGUUGACCUCGGAUCAGGUAGGGAUACCCGCUGAACUUAAGCAUAUCUAACGGAGGA